UGUAAGAGGCAGUUUGCCCGCCUUCUCUCCCUUUCCUGCUGCCCUGUGAAGAAGGUAUCUGCUUCUCUUUUGAUUUCUACCAUGAUUAUAAGUUUCCUGAGGCAUUCGCAGCCAUGAGGAACUGCUAGGCAAAUGAAGCAGUAGGAGUGGAAAAGGAACAAAGACAUCUGUAACCGGUUGUGAUCGAUUAGCUGCAAACACCGCUGCACGAGGACCUGCCCAAACCUGCUCCUUAACCAGCUGACUUUCUGGUUGCUCAGCUGUGAGCCUCCUGCAAAAGCAAGGCGUCAGCCGGCCCAUGCUUCCUCUGCAGCUCUGCAUGGAAUCCUGACCUUGCCUCUUACUGGCUUGUGAAGGUGGCCAUUGACCUUUGGCAUUCCUUUGCUUCUGCAGCUGCAGCACUUCCUCUCUUCCCCAGUUGUCAUGUGGCAUUCUUCCUCAUAGAAGCUCAUAAGGAUAGAGACCCUGUCUGUGAUGUGAACGGCACCACCAUCCACAAUACUGAGGUCCUGAAGACAUGAAAAUAGAGAAGAUAUUCAAAGAGUACAUGCCAUACAAGGGAAAUACAUAUUUUAUUAAAAUUCAUCAUUAAAAGUAUGGAAAGACAGGCCAUAACUAGAGAAAGAAUAAAUGCUUAAUAAAAAUUAAUAAUCCAAGGAAUCAUAAAAAUGUAACUUUAUGAUUAAACAUUUAAAAAAUACAUCCA
rnacentral:lncRNA from 1 species